UUGUGCUCAGAAGCAAUACCACAGUCUUGCCACGGAGUAAGUAUUGUAACUGCUUCGUAAGCUUCAUCGCUUCGUUAGCUGCACUCCAUCGCGAUGAGGAACACGGUGCGUGCUUCGUCCGGUGCCUUGUCCCGAGAGUGGGACAUUGAUACAGGCCUGCGAGACCCAGUGACGAUCGCUCCCCCGCUGGACAUCCCCCCAAUCCCAGUUCCUCAAUGAUUCAAUGUUCCAGCAUCCGAACCUACUCACCGAGCGCUCUGAAGUGCGACUCGUUGCUGCGCCCGUGUGUGUGUGCGCCAUGCGCAUGGUUUCCAUCGACCUAUCGGCGGGCCUUUCUGUGUUGCGAGCUUGAUUUCUCUGCACGUCCUUUGUUUUAUACGUUCCUAGUGAUUAUAUGCUCCACGGUGGUUUGAGCUGUCUUGUCUUGUCAGCUUAUGGUGUGUUGCUUUUAGUUGUCCGUGUGCAACUCGCCAAACAUGACCUUAGGCGUGAAGAGGUGAUUUCUGACCUCCGCAUGUUUACGAGCAUCGCUUCACGUCGUGAUGUGAAUUUGGCUAGUCGGUCAAAUAUAUAAAUACACCAGGAAAACUGGUCGCGGUUCGGACUGUUGUGCUUACACUUA